rnacentral:tRNA from 1 species
GCCUCGGUAGCUCAGUGGUAGAGCGUUCCCUUGGUAAGGGAAAGGUCGUGUGUUCAAUCCACACCCGAGGCA